AUAUAUAUAUAUAGCAGAUGAAUCGUGACCGUGUGAUCAUAGCUUGUUAGAUUGUGAUUGGAGGUUCGUUUCUUAACCAUGGAUGGUCCUGCGGUUGUCUGACAGGCCAGCACUCCCACGAAGCCCAUUAUUAGAGCUACAACGGCAACUCCCAAAAUCCCAAGCUCUCCUUUCUGGCAAGAUAGCUUCUGUAGCGAUUGGCUUCCUGUUAUACCAUGAGCACUCCCAAUCAAAAGUAGUUGUUCUUGGCGGUCAUUUUCACUUCUCUUCGAUACUUGUCGGUCUAUUCCUUUGAAUACCAAAUCGGCGGCAACGAAAACUGGGUUGUCCCUCCCGCCAUUGAUACCAGAAUCUACGUUGACUGGGCCUUAGGGAACCGAUUCCAAGUUGGUGAUACAACUCGUUUCAAGUAAAGGAAGGAUUCCGUCAUGAAGGUCAGGGUAGAGGAUUACAAGAAGUGCCACUCCCGUCACCCCAACUUCUUUUCCAACACUGUUUACCAUCUUAAUUAUCCAGCGUCUUCCUACUUCAUAAGUGGGGUUUCUGGACACUGCGAGAAGGGACAAAGGAUGAUCAUCAUUAAGGUUAUCUCAACUGAUCAAGAGACUAAUUCAAGUCUGCAGCUUUUCCUUCUGCAGGAGUGCUAGUCUUUCGGUGCCUGGAAAGUGCUCUUAUCUCAGCUUGUUUCGUUCUAACAAAAUACCACCGCUAAAGCACCGCAGCCGCUCAGGGUCUUCCUCGUACCUUCAUAUCACUCUCCCCUUGGAUACUACCGGGGCUCGAAGCAAAAAGAUGAACAGAGCGUUUUCCUCGGGAUAAAAACACCUAGGACCACAUUUGUACCACAUCGAAAAAGAUUGAAGAACGAAUAUAGUUAAUAAAUUGUUCGAGGAGCCCGUAACAGCA